rnacentral:ncRNA from 1 species
UAAGGAUACAGGCAAGUGUGCACUGUACACGUCUGGGCACUGAUGUUUAUAUUAAGCGUACUGUAAGUACGCCAGACCAGAUGGGAAGUAGUCGUAAACGCGGCUACUUUUUUUAUUUCUU